UACGAGUGAUCAACGCGGCCUUAAACCAAGAGCUCUUCUUCUUAGUUGCAAACCACUCAUUCACGGUAGUAGGGGAAGAUCAGUACUUGAGAGCUGGCAGUGUUGGUCUCCCUAAUGUUGACGAUUUCUUUUCAAUGCUAUUAUGUAGCACAAUCUCCAUCUUCUUCGGCUUCCACUGGAUCAACUCCAGCUACUCCAGGGCAAAGUAACCUUUUUACAUUGGAAUAAAGGACAGGAGAUGGCUCCUACAAUUGGGACCGAAGGUGGAACUCUCUUAGUUAGAAAAAUACCAGUUCCAGGCCCAAGGUAA